AUUUUCUGUUGGGAGUGAGCAUUGAAGAAAAGGGAAGGUGAUAACAGCGGAAGAGAUAAAUUUUUCCAUGGAGCGUGGCCAAAGUCGUGCAAGACAAUGGCGUCAAUCAUUGAGUCCUGAAGAACAUCAAAGAUAUCUAGCUCGACGACGUCUAAUAGCACAAGAAAAAAGACAACAAAUUCCAACUCUAUAUGAUGAUCAUACUAUGACAUCCCCCAGUAACAUACAACAAGAAAUUCCUGGUCCCAAUAAUAUACAAGAACGGGUUCAGU